GACGAACGCUGGCGGCGUGCUUAACACAUGCAAGUCGAACGGAAAGGCCCUGCUUUUGUGGGGUGCUCGAGUGGCGAACGGGUGAGUAACACGUGAGUAACCUGCCCUUGACUUUGGGAUAACUUCAGGAAACUGGGGCUAAUACCGGAUAGGAGCUCCUGCUGCAUGGUGGGGGUUGGAAAGUUUCGGCGGUUGGGGAUGGACUCGCGGCUUAUCAGCUUGUUGGUGGGGUAGUGGCUUACCAAGGCUUUGACGGGUAGCCGGCCUGAGAGGGUGACCGGCAACAUUGGGACUGAGAUACGGCCCAGACUCCUACGGGAGGCAGCCGUGGGGAAUAUUGCACAAUGGGCGGAAGCCUGAUGCAGCAACGCCGCGUGCGGGAUGACGGCCUUCGGGUUGUAAACCGCUUUCGCCUGUGACGAAGCGUGAGUGACGGUAAUGGGUAAAGAAGCACCGGCUAACUACGUG
rnacentral:rRNA from 1 species